rnacentral:rRNA from 1 species
GACGAACGCUGGCGGCGUGCUUAACACAUGCAAGUCGAACGGAAAGGCCCUGCUUUUGUGGGGUGCUCGAGUGGCGAACGGGUGAGUAACACGUGAGUAACCUGCCCUUGACUUUGGGAUAACUUCAGGAAACUGGGGCUAAUACCGGAUAGGAGCUCCUGCUGCAUGGUGGGGGUUGGAAAGUUUCGGCGGUUGGGGAUUGACUCGCGGCUUAUCAGCUUGUUGGUGGGGUAGUGGCUUACCAAGGCUUUGACGGGUAGCCGGCCUGCGAGGGUGACCGGCCACAUUGGGACUGAGAUACGGCCCAGACUCCUACGGGAGGCAGCGGUGGGGAAUAUUGCACAAUGGGCGGAAGCCUGAUGCAGCAACGCCGCGUGCGGGAUGACGGCCUUCGGGUUGUAAACCGCUUUCGCCUGUGACGAAGCGUGAGUGACGGUAAUGGGUAAAGAAGCACCGGCUAACUACGUG